rnacentral:rRNA from 1 species
UACGGAGGGUGCAAGCGUUAUCCGGAUUUAUUGGGUUUAAAGGGUACGUAGGCGGUGGAGUAAGUCAGUGGUGAAAGCCAACAGCUCAACUGUUGAACUGCCCAUUGAUACUGCUUCACUUGAGUGCAGUUGAGGUGGGUGGAAUUCCAUGUGUAACGGUGAAAUGCUUAGAUAUAUGGAGGAACACCGAUAACGAAGGUAACUCACUAAACUGUAACUGACGCUGAGGUACGAAAGCGUGGGGAGCAAACGGG